UCCUAACCGUGCGAAGGUAGCGCAAUCAAUUGUCUCAUAAAUCGAGACCUGUAUGAAUGGCUAAACGAGAUCUCAACUGUCUCUUGUGGAUAAUCAGUGAAAUUGAUCUCCCCGUGCAAAAGCGAGGAUAAUCACAUAAGACGAGAAGACCCUGUGGAACUUAAAAAUCACUAGUCACCUCCACAACACAGAGCCUAACAGGCCCACUACCCAGAGAGCCCUGACUAAUAUUUUUUGGUUGGGGCGACCUUGGAGAACAACAAAACCUCCAAAUACAAGACCACAAAUCUUUACUGAGUGCCACCACUCAAAGUGCUAACAGCAACCAGACCCAGUAUCCAUCUGACCAAUGAACCAAGCUACCCCAGGGAUAACAGCGCAAUCUCCUCCAAGAGCUCCUAUCGACGAGGGGGAUUACGACCUCGAUGUUGGAUCAGGACAUCCUAAUGGUGCAGCCGCUAUUAAGGGUUCGUUUGUUCAACGAUUAACAGUCCUACGUGAUCUGAGUUCAGACCGGAGCAAUCCAGGUCGGUUUCUAUCUAUGAUUGACUUUUCCUAGUACGAAAGGACCGGAAAAGUGGGGCCAAUACAACAAGCAUGCCCUCUCCUUAAGUAGUGAACGCAACUAAAUUACAAAAGGAGCUCCUUUUGUUUGUCUUGAGACUUUUUUGUUUGUCUUGAGAAA
rnacentral:ncRNA from 1 species